rnacentral:lncRNA from 1 species
CAGAGGCAUCAUCUUCCAGGAAAUUGUUGUAGGUGAUGCGGCUGGCAUCAGAAGCGGGCGCCUUUUUCUUGAACUCAUCAAAGUCGAUGUCGAGGCACGGGACAGAGCGCCAGAGGUGCCUCCACCGUGUGGACAGCACGCAUGUCUGCACCGCCUGCCGGGCUUUCAAGAAGGACAUGAUGGUAUGGACUAUGGAGGAGGCAGUCCGGCAGAGAGCUCAGCCGGUCCGGGCUGCCGGCCGAGGAUCCGCCGACGACACCACUUGCGCGGGCGCGCUUCUUGAAGGCAUCCUCAAGCUCCAUGGCGUGCCCUGCUAGAUCGAUUACUUGAUGAGUCGCGCUACUAGAUCAACGACGGCGGAAGGUUUCGAAAAAUGGCGAAGCAUGUUCGCCGUCGAAGCAUGUUCACGAGGGCCGAAAGCAAACCAGUCAGGGGUACGGGAACGAGGCGAAAGAUGGGGCGGUGGGUAAUGGGGCUUACCGAGCGCCGCAGCCUGAGCCUGCCGUGGGGGUAGGAGCCCCUCCAGCCGGAAGAAACGCAGCCGUGAGAAGGGCGGCGCCGGCGCGACCGAGUGCCUCGACGGCGGAUGGGUGGGGGAAGAGGGGCACUGCGCCGAGCAGUUUUGGGCCGGCCCAAUUGGCAAUUGCUACGACCGAGUUUUAAAUUUUAUUCCAUAAUUUUUUUUCUUCAAAAAAAAAAAGGAAUAGUCUGUUUUUUAAUAACCAGAAAAAAAAAUUAGGCCAUGUCUCAAAGAGCAGGUGACUGAAAUCCAUAAAUCCGUCAGACACCUUGUACAUCCACUCCUCUCUGGUGUCCUUCCUCUUUGCUCCGACAUCUUCUCUCUCUGGUGCUCCUCCUAACCCUCGUACUCACCGGAGAUGAGAGAGUGGGAGGGUACGGGCUCAGGUCGAGCUUGUGGGUAGGUGGGUGAUGCGAAUGUGAAAAAUCAGCUGUCGAAUAAUUCUGAAAAAAUCAACCAUAUAUUUUGGCAGGUCUCUAAAGAAAUCCAUCCGCUCAAAAUUAAUAGACUGUGAUUAAAACCAAACCUUAUGAAUUUUAGCUAAUUUUUAGUUAAAAUUAAUUAUAUGCAUGCAUAGUGUAUAAUUCCUCAAUAAAAGAUAUAUGGUGUUUUAUGUUUGUCCUGAGUUAAGACUCAUUUAAGUUUGAUUACAUAUAGUGUAUCUAAUGCAACUAAUCUAGUGUUGCAAGAAGUUUCUGCAUUUUCUAUAAACUUUUUAAAACUUAGAAUUUUAAUUUAGGAUAAACAAAAACGCCAUACUGAUUUUAGGAAGGAGGCAGUAAUAAUUAUAUUCAUGGAUUCAAUUUCCAAAAAAAUGAUAUGACAUCGAUUUGUUAGCAAUUGUUCACUACUAUAAAACAAUUUGAGGGUUAAGUAUGCAUUUCAAUCACUUUAUUUAUUAAAUCCUAAAAUAUAUCUACUAAAUAACAUAUUCAUUAAAUAAUGUACAAAGGACAAAGUGAGUUAUGCUCAGACUUGACACGGAUGCUCAUAUUUUUCUAAACUUAUUUCAAGAUUUAACGAUAUUAUUUUUUUCUUUCAAGUGGUAGGCAACGUACACAUCAUAUGAUCAAAUGCAUCUACACUGGAUCUCAAAAGAAAUGGUAUAGCAAUGUGAAGAAAAGAAUGCCACAAUAAUCCUGAUUCAAAGGAUUUUCCAACAACCUGGUUUCAGAUUUUGUUUUCUAAUCCUUUAUGUGCCAAUGAACUAACUUAUGUUUUGAUAUAAUAGAGCUAGGCAAGAUGUUUAGUGAGUUUUGCAUUAGAUGGGUCAGAAGGGACGCGAACUCGGUGGCAAACUUCUGUGCAUCCAUAGUUUCGCCUACCGAUCGCUGCCACUUCUGGAUUGAUAAUGUACCAGGCUGGCUAGUGGUUCUAGCAGAUGUCGAUUGUAAUCUGGCCAUGAAUCAAUAGAAAGCUCUAUUACUCAAAAAAAAAGAUAAACUCUUAUUUUAAAUUUUUUUCCAGUUUAGUAAAAGAGCUAUUCUUACUUCAUAAAAAUUAAAAGUUAUCAAAUAUCCUCAGUGACUUGUAAGUUUUCGAGGACAAGAGGAACUUCAUAUAUGCUCCUCAUCAUAUGUUUUUCUCGAGAGAUCAUGGUAAAUUAGAUGUAUGAGUAAAUUAAGAAAAUAAAAAGUGUUGGCAGAGAAAGCGAUAAAGACAAAGAAACUAUUAAAAAGGUUUGGUUGGGUAGAAGUAAUUUUGGGGUUCCAAAUGCAAAAAUAUUAGACUAUUGGAGAAGGAUAAAAUUUAAUUUGCUAUUUUUUUCCACUCCUAUGACAUAUGAACGCAAACCCUACCCCUAUGACUCAAAGAGUAGACCAGAACUCCUCGCUAUGAACAUUGUCUACCACAACAACAUUAAAUCCUGAAAUAUUUUCUUCCACGCAAAGUUAAACCUAGAAUGCUUGAGGUGCUACUAAUACUCUACUCUUGUAACCACUAGGCUACACAUUCAUUCACUCUUGUUUCUUUCUUCUAUUAACUUAUUAGAUCUAAUAGUUUAGUAAGUAAACUAUUUCAAACUUUUAAAUAUGCUCUAACCAUAUAUUCCCUUUUUUCUUUAGAGAUCUCUAAAAUAACCACUACACUCUAAAUUAGUAAACUUCAUCAGAUUUUGGAUACUAACAAAGUUAAAAUUAUAUGCAUGAAUAGUGUGUAAUUCUUUGAUUAAAAAAUACAUGGUGUUUUAUGUUUCCUAAGUUAUCAUUAUUUAAACUUGAUUAAAUUUGGCAUAUUUAAUACAACUAAUUUAUAGUGUUGUAAGUUGUUGCUACGUUUUCUAUAUAUUUGAAUGAAUUUAGAAGACUUUUUAAUUUAGAACAAACAAAACGCCUUACAUGAGGCAAUAAUAGCUAUAUGAAGAAAUUCAAUCUUUCAAAGAUCUUUUGAUAUGACAUUGAUUUGUGUAGGGUCAAGUUAAAAAGUACACCUAUAAAAAACGGAUGAAGGUUUCUUCAAAUAACAUUAUCUUUUCAUAUAAAAGAUGUGCACAUUUUCUCUGUUGAUAUAAAAGAUGCUUAAGUCUCCUACUUUUCACCAUGACUCCAUAUAAGUAUUUGAUUGCAAACAAGAAUACUAAGCUUUUUGUUUUUACUUUUUAGGCAUCACAUCUAUUUCAAUGCUAUAGCAACACGAAGAAAAUGAUGACGCAACUCUCUCUCUCUCUCUCCAAAUCCUUAUGUGCCAGUGAACGGACUUCAUCUUCAGAUCUCUCUUUUUUUUUGCAAAUCCUUAUGUGCCAACGAACUGGCUUUAUCUUUUAUAUUUGCAAAAUUCUUUCUUUUUUUGAAAGCAAGUCAAUAUGGUAAAACAUUGAGAGCACAAAAUUGUUAUGUUUGCAAAACAAUUUUUUGGCCUUGAUAGGACUUCUCCAUCGGCUUCAGAAGCCCUUUUUUUUGUCAAAUAGGAUAAAAUAAAAACGGCUUCACACAGAGAGCCUCAAAACGUGCUGAGACAAAGGAUAGACAAGGAGCGGAGCCAAAAAUAAUAGCUUCACCUUGCCUACGUAUUACUCAAUAAGGAUGAAACCACAAAUUUCCCUUGUUGUGACUCAUGUGCCUACGUGGGAACUCGGCCACAUGGGCGUGGGUGCAGCCACCAGAGCACAUAGCCACCAAGGCGCGUAGGCCAACUGGGGCAGCAGCCACCGGAGGUCUCGAUCGAUGGAGCGCUCGGUCAUCGGGGGCACGUCUCCCUAGACGCACCACCAUCAGGCACGCAUGCAGCCGGGGGCACGUCCACUUGGUAGCGUGGGCCCCUAUAUGCAGGUCAAGGGAGCGGUAGACACUAUUCCUGAGUUUCCUCAUGUUCAUCUGGCAAGCAUGGGAAGAAGACGACAUGUAUAGGGAAAAUAAGGGUAUUUUGAUCUUUUUUAUUCGUUUUGUCUAUUGUAAGGAGCUAUUUUGCCAGGAUAUCAAAGUGGCCUCAGCUCCAUCAGACUGUUUAUGGUGUCGAAGCAAAAAAAAAAAAGCUUCGCUGAUAAAGUAGAUCCAUGUCAAACGGGGUUUUUAUGCUAACGAUUUGUACUCUGUUUGGAGUGGUGGCCUUUUUGGGUGUAAUACGGCAUAGGACUGUGUACGACUUUUUAUAUGAGUAUAAAAAGUAGCACUAAACAAUGCUGCACUUUGACCCAGUGAUUGAUCUGUUUGCUUUGCCUAAUGCCAUUGCUAUCACACGAGUGAAAAGAAUGAUGUAAAAAGAGGGCCUAAUUCACUUGAGACUCAGUGGGUCACUUUCGCCGGUGCUUGGUGCACUGCAUGGUUCUUAAUCGAUCGGUUUCUUUGGUUACCUUUUCAAAUCCUUACACCACCCGCAUUUGCGUUCCUGCGGACUGAAAUCUUGUUCCACCGACUGAAAUCCUUAUCCUUAGGUCUUGUUCAGUUGGCAAAAUUUUAGGAUUUUGAGUAAUGGAACACUUUCGUUUGUAUUUGACAAAUAUUGUUCAAUCAUGAACUAACUAGUCUUAAAAGAUUCGUCUCACAAAUUACAGGUAAACUUUAUAAUUAGUUAUUAUUUUUGUCUAUAUUUAAUCCUCCAUACAUAUGUCGCAAGAUUCGAUUGUUUUUUUCUAUAUUUAAUUCUCCAUGCAUAUGUCGCAAGAUUCGAUGUGACGGAAAAUCUAAAAUUUUUGGCAAAACUUUUUGGGAACUAAACAAGGCAUCACAUGAUAAGGUUUGUUUGCACGAGAAAACGAACUAAAACUAGAACAGAAAACACACAAAUUGCGCUGGACCCAUUUUUUUUUGACAAUGCAUACCGCAAGCUUUAUUAAUGAAGAACAGUCACAUCAUUUAGCAUAAACUCAAAAAUAAAUCUCACGGGCUCAUCGUCUCAAAUACAAUCACACAUCUUGUGCAUUGCAGAAGCCAGAAGGGUGAGCCAGCUAUAGGAUUCAGUUCAUUUGUAGUCACCACAAAGUUUUCAGUUCAUCUGUAGUCAGUAGAACCUCAAUAGGGACAGUAGAGAAGAUAUCAAUAUACGAUUUGAAAUCUCCAAAUUAAGUUGAGACGGUAUGCAUGUCAAAGCGGAGGGGUUGAUAGUUUGCACAUACAUGACGGGGAUCAAUUCAGGAGAUAUCUGCAUAGUGAUGACAAAAACGCUGAUGAAUUUGAGUUGGUGUAUGGAAUUCAUGUAGCUCUCUGCCUAAUCCCAAAGAGCCCCAGGGAGAAAUAACAGAAGAAAACAUGAGAUUUCCGGUGCAUUUUUCAAGAUUGUCAUGUUUUAUAAUUGGAGACAUUUCAGUAGGAAAACACACACAGAGAGAAGCGAAAAACAAGGGGGAAAAUAGUACAUAGAGCUAAAAGCACCAGAAAAGUAAAAAAAGAGUAAAAAAUCAAUAGCAUAUACAGUCAUUAGAGCAAAGACCUUCAUCACUUAGAAAUUGGUCAAAAGUAUAUAGGCUUGCCAUUUAGUGCAAGACCCAUAAUAUGUAUGUAAAUUCCACAUCUGAACCAUAAGGCAAGAAUCUACCUAGAAGGACAUGCAUGUUCAAGCAGAGGGGGCUCAAGAUAUUUUGGACACACAAGUAGGGGACCCAUACAUAAGCACUGAUGAAUUUAAGAUGGUGUAUAGUUUUGGAAAGCAUGUACCUCUGUCUAGUCCCCAGAAGAUCUAGGAAGGAGAAAAAAAAUAGAAGAAAACAAGCUAUUUCCGGUCCCAUUUUUCAAGCUUGCGAUAUUUUAUUAUAGGCGAUAGUUUCCCAAUAUGUAAGAACUUAAUCUAGCUUUGUCCAUGUAAGUGGGUGGUGCGCACUCGACACUGACACACAGCAGUACAGACAUAGGGCUUAAAGCAGAUAUUUUACAGAGAAAUCAUACCCUUAAGCCAGGAAAGAGUAAAAAUCAAUAGCAUAUGUAGUCAAUAGAGCAAAAGCCCGCUUCACUUAAAAUUAAUCAAACAUAUAGGCUUGCAAUUUAGUCCAUCUGAAGGAAGCCUAUGAUGUGCACAUAAAUUCCACAUGAACCAUUAGGUGAGAUGCCAUAUAGAAGGCGUGGGAUAACAAAAACACUAAUCAACUUUGGUGAGUUUAAUGUUGUUCUUCGACAGAUUCACUGAAAUGUGCAGCAAAAGCCGCAUAAGGUGGGGUCCAUAGCCAUCAUUAUAUAUGAUUUCAAACUUGAGGUUCUCACACAGCAAAUCCAGUCCACGGAGCUCAGAAGAUGCGAUCUCGUUGCGUAUGGGCAUAUGUCUCUUUUUAGGACAUUUUGGGAACUGUAGCCAACAUAAAAGAUGUAAGACAAUGCACUAUGUUCAUUAAUUAAUUUUUAAAAACCAAACAACAGUAUACCUUGCAGCACCGCAAAGUGAUUUUCUCAAGAAUAGGAGAACUCCGAAGAAAGAAUACCAAUGUCCUGAAGUUAUCACUGAGAUCACAGUCGUCCAGCAAUAAGUUCCUCAGGUUCUUGAAUUCUUGGAAUCUGGGUUCCUUACCUAGCACCUGUAGUAAAUUAGAUAGUACCAUAACAUUAUUAGAGUGAAUAAAAUGGAACAUUGUAAGAGACGGCAAUGGCAUACCCUUGUCCCGACACCCGAUAAUUCCAAAUUUGUCGAGUUAGAUAUGCUACAAAGAAGCUUGAAUUGAUCGCCAUCAAGUUUACUUCUGGCAUGAUUAUAUUUGUGGUCCAGUAGAUGAAUAAAAGCCUUUCCAAGGGAUGGCACUUCGUUUAAUGAAAAACCACCACAAAAUCUAUAAACAUUCACAGCCAGAUGCAGAUAUGCAAGAGCAGGGACCAAGAUAACAAGCGCACAGGCAGCAGUAUUUAAGCCACCAUCAAAAACCAACGUUUUCAGUGUGGGAGAUAUAAUCUCACAAAGACGGUGGCAUCGACAUUUUCUCAGAACCAGGGUCUUCAGCGAGUUGGAGGUGAUUGACUGAAUUCGACAACUGCAAUCGUCCAGCUCCAAUUCCUCCAAAGAGCAGCACACUGAACUAACACGCUUCACAAAAUGAUCAUCAAGAAGUACAUGGCAGAGAUGCAGCCUUUUGAGGCACCAAGAACCAGAGGUCAGUCCCAGCUUACUGGCACGAUCAGGCGUGCAGUAUUUCAUGGCACGACGGAGCCAUCCUGCUGCCAGUCUAUUGCCAAACACCGGUGCUCUGCUUCUAACAAUAUUCAGCCGGAAUGAAUCCAAUUGUGCAAUGUUACAGCGGUGCAUCAGGGUCACAGCAAAAUCCUCAAAAUCCUCCCAGUCCUUGUACUUGAUGAAAUGAUGCAGUUGCUCUCUGUCACUGUCACUGUCACUGUCACUGUCAGAAUCAGAGGUAUCAAUGUCGGAGCAAGAACUUUCAUCGCUACUGGAGAGGCAGAUGCGCUUGACACCAGAAGGGGACGCCUUGUUGAACUCAUCAAAGUCAAUGUCAAGGCAUGGCACCGAGCGCCAGAGGUGCCUCCACCGUGUGGACAGCAGGCAUGUCUGAACCGCCUGCCGGGCUUUCAAGAAGGACAUGAUGAUAUGAAGGAGGCUGUCUGGCAGAGAGCUCAACCGGUCUGGGCCGCCAGCC